ensembl:lncRNA
GCAAGGUGUGUGUAAACUUAUGACCUCAACUGUGUAUCAACACUACUCCCCUAGUUGGUAGUUUAUAACACAGUGCUGUUGAAUUCUCUAAUCUGAUUGGUCAGGUGUUGAUUAAUUUUCUAUAACAGCAGCUCUGACAACAGUGCAAGGAAAACCACAGGACUAUAUUGAUGUGCUCAUUCUAAUAUGUUACCAUUUCUAUAGUAAGAGCUAAUUCACAGGGUCUUGUAUGACAAAUAUGCUACAUAACCUAAACCUGAUAAUACAUAUAAUAAGAAAGGAUAAAUAUAAUACAAUCAAUCUUAGCAAGAGAAAAAUCAGUCAAGUGUCUUAUUAUGUAUAUAUUUUCAAUUCAAAAAUCAAUUUCUUUUCCAAAUCCAAGUCCAAUGUUUGCCAUUUGUUUACAGGAUCUGAUAUCUGAUUUGUUUUUCUCUGAUAUCUGAUCCACCGUUUUUUGCUGCUAUCGGCCCAAUACUUGGUAUCAGAUCUGUGGAUCUGAAGCACACAGGACUAUGAGGACAUCCCCCUCUUCUCACUUACAUGUCUCACACACUACUCCAUAGUGUUCCCCAGCUUAGAGCCUAAAAUACACAAGCUCUUAUUACUGUACAACACGAGUGCAACAGAAUAAGAGCAGUUACAGCUGACGUUUCAAGCUUCCCCAGCUCCAUGUGAUAUAUAAUGUAUAGAAGAGUCUAGACUAUCUGGGGCCGCCAUCACAGUAUGAUAUACACCCUACCGGUUGAGAGAGUUUCCAGUUGCUUCAGAGCUGUUUAUAGACAGCCCUUUUACUGCCUAGCUACUACUUAUUAUUAAAGGAACACUUCAGCAUUUUUAAUUUGAUCUCUAGGACUGUGUCUGUAGUUUUACUGAUUAUUACACAGAUGAAUUUCCUUGUACUGAGAAGAAAAACUGAAAGAAAAAAAAUGGACUCGACAUCAUUAUGAAUUUUAUUCAACUUUCCAGUUUGAGAAAAAUGAAGAACAUCCUGUUUACUCUGAUCUAUGCAGACUAUGCUGAUAAAUUAUAAUCCGUAUGUCCUUCCUUCUAGAAAAUUCCUGAAGAAUUCAUGAAAUUGUUCUACAACAAUGUUUUUAUUAACAAUUGUUGACCAGGUUCAGCAACUGCCAUUCAACUUUCAUUGUAGCUUAAUUAAGUCAAGAUUAAAAUAAAUAAUUUUAUAUUAUUUUCUGGGAAAAAUUGGUGAAAUGCUCAUCUGUGAUAGUCACAUAUUUCUACAGAGGGAGUAGAAAAUCAUUAUAGUAUUCCUUUAAAUUUUGGUGUUAACUAUAUAAUAUGGCAUUUUGUGAGUUUGUGCAGUCAUGCACCCCGAAUGUUGUUGUACAAUACUUGUAUCAGCACUGUCUUUGCUAAAAACAUGCGAAUAACAUCUGAUAUCUUUGUCGCUUUUAGUUUCAUUCUUGUGCCAGAAAGUGUUCCAGGAGGUAAACCAUUUUUCAAAUAAGUGGAAUAUCUUUUGUGAUAGGCUUUGGGGUGUGGAAAGUACCCCCAUCUGUGUAUCUGUGUGUCUUUGUGGCAGUAUUCUUCACAGUGGCCUCCUAAACAGAUGGAUUGGAAGCUCCCGGAAAGCGUGUUAUAUUUACGCCUGGUCUGAAAUUAUUCCUCUGUGCCUGUCCAUAAAGUCUUACACCUCACCAAAACAUUGCUGUCUACACAAACUGGCCUUGUUUCAUCACUGGUCGUCAUGGGAACACUGUGUGUGCUUAACCCAAAGGAUGAGAAUUAUAGAGAGGGCAGCCAAGAGUGCACUCUGUGGUGGUAGAUCUGUCUCUGCCAUAAAUGGAUUAUUUGUUAAGUAACACACAAGCAUUUCCGGUACAGAAAAGAAAAUCAAUCAUAAAAUAGUGGAAAUAAUCAUGCUGGAUAUUCUUUCCUAUAGUACAACGUAUAAGUGUGACAAAUAGAGGGGGUGUUUGGUUAAAGAUGACAGCUGCCUUGUUCGUUGUUUUAAGGGUCAGUCAUGAACACGUCAAAAAGUUGUCAGUCAAAAUGGCACAGUGGUGUCACACAGCGUUAAUCAAACACUCUAAAAUGUUCAGCUCUUUUGUGAAGCUUUGGCUUACACUGGAGCUAAAAUCAAUACUCGAUGAAGACAGAUAAAAUGACUGAGUCUUUGGUAGUCGCUCACUGGAUGACUCACUUACUAGCAAUUGAAUAGCCCACACCAACAUACAGUCAAGAUUUUAUUCCCAAGUUUAAAGUAUUUUCAUGAAUCAAGUGAAGUGGGAAAUUGUGAAAUUGUGCAAGGCCACUGUGAUUAUUGUUUAUAGAGAGUUAGGUGUUUCAUGGGUGAUGGUUUAAAAAAUCUUAUUGUCAGUGUUUUUAAGAAAUGUAUUGGUCUUAGGGCCAGCAAUCUUUUUUUUUUUGGCAGAGAGCAGAGAUUGCUGAAAGCUGUCGUAUAAAACUUGUUUUUGGUACGUUAAAAAAGAAAUCAUUGUUCCAAAUUGUCUCCUUACCUUACCCUGAUUCACACCGGUAAGCUUCUAAUAAUGAUUUAUAAUUUGAACUGUCGAGUCAGAUUUUUCAGGAACUGUCAGGCUGACGUCAUUUGCAUGGUCUUUGAUGCCACCAUGCCUUUGUGUGGUUGCGUAAUGUCUGUAAACAGAAACAAGAAGAGCUGGAUACUAUAUUGUGUGUGUGAGUGUGGAUGGUGGUGUUCGUAGCUUGUCCUUACUGGAGUUGCUUAGAAUUUAAACUUGUCAUCUAGAUGGCUGCUUUAAUCUGGAUAGUUCUAAACGUAGUCAUCGUUGACAUCUGGGGAAUCAGCUGUUGUCAAAACCAGGAAGCCUCGAACUGUGAAGAACCUGCAGUCAAAAAGGGAAAGUGACCGAGCCCGUGCUAAAACGAGAAAAAAUAAUGGCAUGAGUUUUGAGAGGUGGCGACAACUCAGAGAUCUGAAGGGAUUGAAGAUUGAGGCAGAGAUUUUUUUUUCUGACGAACAGGUAAGACAUUUCAGUGGCUCAGUAGGUAGCUAGCUAACAUUAUCACACUUGUUUGCUUAAUUCAGCUAGGUAUCAAAUUUCCUAUAUUUCUUUUUCUCUUUUUUUUUUGUUGCUAUGGUCGGUGUGGUAAUUUGCCACCUCCGUUGUCAUGUAUCGGAGUUAAUAUUCAACCCAUACGUACCUCAAAGCAUCAGAUUCAUCUGCAUAGAGGACACAACCCACAUAAAAAAAAAAUGCAAGUAACUUGCAGUUUUAUGUUUCAAACAGAGAAGGCGAUAGAGAGGCACAAGUUCAGUACUGCAGCUUUAAUAACUGAAUCUUAACUAUUUUAUUCAGCAGACACUCUUUAUCCAGAGCGACUAACAGAAGUGCAUUAUAGUCUCCAUCAAAAACAUAUUCUCAAGCUUGUACAAACAGAUCAGGCAUCUAAGAAUCAAGUUAAAACUCUCUUAGCAAGAACUUCUUAGCAGUUCAUCAGUUUCUUUCCAGACACUAUCCAGUUACUCGACCAUCCCAGUCCAUAGCAACACCUACUGAAACUUUUGCAUUCCAGUUUCACACUGACACCAUGUCUUAUCUCUCUUGUCUCAUGUCCUGUCUCUGUGUAAUCAUUUGUGUCUUCUGUACUGUCUGAUCCUAAUUCACUGAAUUCCUGUGAACACAACUCACAGUAAAAAAGGAUUUCAAGCUCCAGGGUCCUUGCUUGGAUCAUAAGCCAGUGGGUCCAGGAGGUGGAUUGACUAUGUUGAUUUAAUCAUAGGCAUAGCAACACGACACUGGCCGAAGUCACUGCAGCCAUAAUGGGAUUUUCCAUCAGAACACAGAGCGAGAAGCUGGCUACGAGCACCACCACAAUCAUGGCUUAGAUCUCUUUAUCGUCAGAAGAACUUCUAUUAAAAUGAAUAGAGGCUGGACUUGAAUGAUCAGAUGAAGAGAAGAGGAAAUUCAAAGAUUAUGAAGUUGAUGGAGAAACUGUCAACGCUGGUCUCAUGGAUCACAUGAUAGCACAGCUUUUUGAGAAGUCUGUUAAGAAGAUGUUUUCAACGUAGAUACGUUGUGGACACUGUGUGGAAAACUGUUGCUCCCACAAUCGUUUGAUUCUCAUGUUCAUGCAUUUCAUAUUUCAUAUGACAAGGAUUGGUUUUGUAUGAUGCCAGGAGAGGAACUGGACUGCCAGGAACUUGAGCUAUAUAAGGUUGAUGACGUUUUGUAUGUAGGAACCAGAUAUGCAUAGGCACUCACCUACAGAACAUUAGGUUUGUGCACAUCCCAUUACAAUGUUUUUGAUGCUUUUGCAUCAUUUCAUUUCUGCUUUAAAAAUGUUAAUGUUAAGUAAAUGCAAGGGUAUUGUGUGAAAAGUGGGGAAAAAAUGAAUUUAAAAGUGUAAAUUGUAUUGUGAACAGUUUGUUUGUGAAAAGUUGUAGAUGGGAAAAUGUAUUUUACAUAGUGUAACAUUUUAGUGUAAUUGUAUUCUGUUAAAAUAUAUAUUUUUUAUAUCUUUAUUGUAAACUUUAAAGAUAUAUUUACACAAAAAGAAAUAUUUUACUGUAAGCUGCAACAAAGUGUUUGUUCAAGUUAUUGUUACAGUAACAGUUACUGAUAUUAAAUUGAUGCCUUUUGGGUUCAAUUGUUGAAUGUGCAUAUUAUUCAAUAGGAAAAUGGCCUUUAGUAGUCCUUGAAGGAACACAUCUGACACAUUUAAGGUACAAAGGGGCUUAUCACUGGGGUGGUAGCUUCAAGGAUAAGAUUUGUACCUUUGAUGAAGGUACAGUAUUUGUACCAGCAAGUUUAAAAAAACAAAGGUACAUUUUGGUUGCCCAUGGUACAAAUCAUGUCUGUAAAGGUACAAACUGGAAUGGUACAAAUUUGUUUCUUUAUAUUAAGGUAAAAUUCCAUUAAAAGUUACCGCCCCGGUGAUAAUGGUUUGUACCUGCUUUAGUACAAAAUUGAACUUUUUUUUUCUUUUCUUUUUUUAUGAGAGUGUAAAACACUGAAUGCAUACAAUCCACAGUUCAACUUAAAACUAACUAUAACACAACCCUUUAUAAACUGGAACAAAUUCUAAAAGUGCCAUGUUUCA